rnacentral:rRNA from 1 species
CCUACGGGGGGCAGCAGUGAGGAAUAUUGGUCAAUGGGCGGAAGCCUGAACCAGCCAAGUAGCGUGCAGGAUGACGGCCCUACGGGUUGUAAACUGCUUUUAUACGGGAAUAACGCGCCUUACGUGUAGGGCUUUGCAUGUACCGUAUGAAUAAGGACCGGCUAAUUCCGUACCAGCAGCCGCGGUAAUACGGAAGGUCCGGGCGUUAUCCGGAUUUAAUGGGUUUAAAGGGAGCGUAGGCCGCAUGUCAAGCGUGCUGUGAAAUGUCCGGGCUCAACCCGGGCCUUGCAGCGCGAACUGGCGUGCUUGAGUCCGCGGAAAGCAGGCGGAAUUCGUCGUGUAGCGGUGAAAUGCUUAGAUAUGACGAAGAACCCCGAUUGCGAAGGCAGCUUGCUGCAGCGGAACUGACGCUGAUGCUCGAAAGCGCGGGUAUCGAACAGGAUUAGAUACCCCAGUAGUC